rnacentral:rRNA from 1 species
AACACGUGGGUUAUCUGCCCCAAAGUGGGGAACAACUGCCCGAAAGGGCAGCUAAUUCCGCAUGUGGUGCGACGCAAGUCGCAAGAAAGAGACUUUGUCUCGCUUUGGGAUGAGCCCGCGGCCGAUUAGCUAGUUGGUGAGGUAAUGGCUCACCAAGGCAACGAUCGGUAGCUGGUCUGAGAGGACGAUCAGCCACACUGGGACUGAGACACGGCCCAG